CGCCCCGUGGAAAGCCAAAGUGCAAAUUUGGAUAAGCACCCUAAAAGGUGCCGGGGCUU
rnacentral:tRNA from 1 species